UCGACUAGAGUUGAUCCUGGCUCAGAAACGAACGCUGGCGGCGUGCCUAACACAUGCAAGUCGAACGCGAAAAGCAGUAAUGCUGAGUAGAGUGGCGCACGGGGUGAGUAACACGUAACUGACAUGUCCUAAAGACAAGGAUAACCGUUCGAAAGGAUGGCUAAUACUUGGUAAGCCCACGGGCUUGGGUUUUGAGGGAAAAGGAUCGGGAUUUUUCGAGACCGGUCGCUUUAGGAGUGGGUUGCGGCCCAUCAGCUAGUUGGCGGGGUAAAAGCCCACCAAGGCUAAGACGGGUAGCUGGUCUGAGAGGAUGAUCAGCCACACUGGAACUGAGACACGGUCCAGACUCCUACGGGAGGCAGCAGUGGGGAAUCUUGCGCAAUGGCAGAAAUGCUGACGCAGCAACGCCGCGUGGGUGAUGAAGGUCUUCGGAUCGUAAAGCCCUGUCGAAGGGGAAGAUGCUUGUGCAUGUUAAUAGUAUGCAUAGGUGACGGUACCCUUAAAGGAAGCACCGGCUAACUCUGUGCCAGCAGCCGCGGUAA
rnacentral:rRNA from 1 species